ensembl:lncRNA
CUUCUGAGCACUUGAAAAACGGUCGAGUUUCCAAGCUGGCAUUUUUUUUAAUUAGUGCAUUUGUCACUGCUUAUGUGUGUAGGGCUGCCACACGUGGAGAACGUGUUUGAGACAAACGGAGCUGCAGCUGCUGUGCGUUACGGCUCUGCACGGUGCAGCAGUGCUGGGCAUGAGCCGCUCCGCUUUGCUCCUUGGGCUGCAGGAGGAGCUGGCAGUGACCUUCACCCCGAGCCCUUUCCUGUCUGAUAGGCUGCAGGUUGAGGACGCAGAAGAAGCCGAAGCCGGAGGCCAGAAGCUCAGAAACCAUACCCACUUCAUUAGCGUGGCAGCAGGGACUGUCAGCCCUUUCCUUUGAGGUUACUAAUGAAGCUCAGUGCCUGACGGUGCUGUUGGCAGCAGGCAGUGUGAUGGGUCAGUGGGAUCGGAGUGCAUCCCGGCUGUCACACUGGGACGCCCCCAUGUGCCCCCAUGUGCCCCCUGAGCCCGGCCGCGCUUUGGAGAGCAGCAGAGCUGCGGGGGCACAGCACACAAACUGUUAACUUUUCUUCACUCUGCUCACAAAUCCAUUUCUUCAGCCGAUGCCAAAGCAUGCGUUCCUCUAUCAAGACCAUAUGUACGCCAAGACUGAGGUUUUAAAGUCAAGGUGUUUGUGAAAUAUUGGAGUGCAAAUUAAGUAUCUGAGUAAUCCUAACUGUCUUCUCGAAAAAAUUCGCUAUCAGCUUCACUUAUUACUCCGAGGAUUAAUGGAAAGCUAAACUUUGAUCCGGGUCCAACAGCUGAUACCAGCCAUGAGGCUUUCCAGGCCUGAGAGCAGCGCAGAGGAAUCCGGCGGGCGGCUCUGCUGGGCGCUGCUCCAUCGGCACUGCGGCUCUGGGGCCGAUGCGGUUUUUGUUCUCAGCCCCUUAAAGCCUUCUGGUGUCACCUCUGUGCCGUAGCACCAAACGCUGCCUGGAGGGGCUGAUGUUGCACAGGGCACUGCAGGCUGCAGCCCCUCGCCCUGCGCUGCCCACAUCCCUGCCUCCCUCACCCUCAGCGCUCUGUCUGCCCAGAGAAAGGAACUCAUCCCUGCGUGGCUUAAGAAGGAUGAGGGGUGCAGAGCAUCCCAAUGAGCAGCGCUGGCGUGGCGCAGCUCAGCUGGGCACCGAGCACUGCGCUCCCAUUUGGUUCCUGCUGCUGCCCUGAGUGCAUUCUCUGACCCCUUCCCACCUUUCGCAGCGCUCUGUGGGGUCACUGUCAGAGAACUCCCGGUGGGGUUUUCCCUGUUGGAUUGAAGUGUGCUGUGGGAUGCAGGGAGCUCUGGGCUGGCUGCUCCGGACUCGGCCUUCACAGAAGCACCGGAGCCCUUUGAGGACAGAACUUCAUUACUGCCACUCUUGCAGUCCUGUCUUUGGUGAUGCCAUAAUUCCUGGUUGUGGUGCUUGAACAAAACCCCAACCCUUAUGUAAAUGCCCGAUUGCUUAUCUCCAUCGCUCGGCUUCCUGCAAUUUAGUAACACAGAAGCUGCAGUUCCAGUGCUUGGGGUGGAGAGAGUGAAAUGGGAGCACUUCUCUUUUUUUUUUUUGACACAAGCUGUGGCUGCAGCUCAACUCCUCGGUGUUGGGGUCCUCUCGGAGAGCGUAAUUAGGAACACAUUGAUUCUUAUUGCAGCUGGCAGCUGCUCACUAUUGCCUUUUUCAGCUUCUGACCCCCAUAGUCCCGCUGACCUUUCCUGGGGUUAGUCGUGGGCCCUUUGCAUUGUGAUGGGCUAGAAGUGGCUCAUGUGGAGUUGAUUAUUUCCUUGCUUGUCUGGCCUUUUUGGUGCCAUAACUCCAAGUCACUUCCAUUUUCUUCCCCUGCUUUUGGCUGACCACAGUGAAAGGAAAUGCUUUUGCUGGCGACAGGAUCAGUUUGCAUGCUUGACUGCCUCGAUUGAGACCCUG